UACGUAGGGGGCAAACGUUGUCCGGAUUUACUGGGUGUAAAGGGCGCGUAGGCGGGUUUGUAAGUCAGAGGUGAAAUCCUGCGGCUCAACCGCAGAACUGCCUUUGAUACUGCAAAUCUUGAGUACAGAAGAGAGAAGCAGAAUUCCAGGUGUAGUAGUGAAAUACGUAGAUAUCUGGAAGAAUACCGGCGGCGAAGGCGGCUUCUUGGUCUGUAACUGACGCUGAGGCGCGAAAGCGUGGGUAGCAAACAGG
rnacentral:rRNA from 1 species